GACGUAGGGGGCCAGCGUUGUUCGGAAUUACUGGGUGUAAAGGGUUCGUAGGCGGUGUGGCAAGUCGGGAGUGAAAUCUCUGGGCUCAACCCAGAGUCUGCUUCCGAAACUGCUGUGCUUGAGUGUGGGAGAGGCGCGUGGAAUUGCAGGUGUAGCGGUGAAAUGCGUAGAUAUCUGCAGGAACACCCGUGGCGAAAGCGGCGCGCUGGACCACUACUGACGCUGAGGCACGAAAGUGUGGGGAGCAAACAGG
rnacentral:rRNA from 1 species